CCUACGGGUGGCAGCAGUGAGGAAUAUUGGUCAAUGGGAGGAAUCCUGAACCAGCCAUGCCGCGUGCGGGACGACGGCUCUACGAGUUUUCACCUGUUUUUGUACCGGGGUAAGACGCUCUAUGAGUAGGGUUUUGAAAGUACGGUACGAAUAAGGAUCGGCUAACUCCGUGCCAGCAGCCGCGGUAAUACGGAGGAUCCGGUCGGUAUCCGGAUUCAUUGGGUUUAAAGGGUGCGUAGGUUGUUGUAUGAGUUAGCUGUGAAAUACCGGUGCUCAACAUCGGGGCUGCCGCUGAUACUGUAGGACUAGAGAGCGGAUGCAGCAGGCGGAAUGUGUAGUGUAGCGGUGAAAUGCAUAGAGAUUACGCAGAACACCGAUUGCGAAGGCAGCUUGCUAGACCGGAACUGACGCUGAUGCACGAAAGCGUGGGGAUCGAACAGGAUUAGAUACCCCAGUAGUC
rnacentral:rRNA from 1 species